ACACGCACGGUUAAAGUGCUGGAGACGGCAGCUCGCGAGUGGGAGAGCUUUAUUUCAAGAGCCACCAUGAGUGGCUGAUGGUGAGCCCAGAAAACUUUUCCCUUGGGCGAGAUGUCAGCAGGUGAAGGCGCUUGCCACCAAGCUUGAUGACUUGAGUUUAGCCCCCGGCACCCACAUGAUGGAAACUGUUGACUACUCUUGUGACUUAUACACGCACAAUGGUACGUGUGCUCCCACGCAUAAGCACAGCAGUAAGUAUACGCGUCAAAUACAGUGAUCUGGCCACAGACUUGGACUAACGAGGAUGGAAGGCAUUUGAGGGGACCCCUCACCUGCUCCCUUUUCUCUCGGGUGCAGUAGGGACCAGAUUGCCUGUUUCCCUAAACUGGCCAGGCUCUGCAAACUGGACCCCCCCCCCCAGAAAAAAAAAAACAGAAUGAUUAAACUUUCUUCCCUAGAAGAUCCUGUCCCAUGACAACCCCAUCCACCAGAGGAGCCGGUUCCGCCGCGCCCCCGUGUGGCCGGGCCCGGAACUGCAGGGCUGCCUCCCCCUCCUCUUCCUCCUCCAACCCUUCUCUUCCCCUUAUUUCGUUCAUCUUUUCCCCUCCUCUUCUUCCUCCCUCCUCUUCCUCACCCUUCUCUACCCUGUCCCCAUGCCUUUUGAUGUCCUCUCUAGAUUUCACCAAACACCUCAUUUGUCACUAUUAUUGACAGCGGGUGCUUCAGACUGACACCCGGGCCACCUCGCGGGGAACCGCGAGCCGCGGGAGUCGCUGCAAAACGCAUCCCCUCCCGCUCCGUCCGGGACCACAGCCCCUCCCAGCUGUGCUUUGGAGGCUGCACAGCUGGAGCACGGCUGUACACGGAGACUGCUUCCUCUCCGUAGCUGUAAUUAUGGGUAAUUUUCUAAGUGCAACACAAAAAUUAAAACCCAAACAACACCAGGAAGGGGGCAGCCGCAGCUGGUGCACGCGGCAAGCCCGGAGACGUGGACCUGGAGUGGAGGAGGAAGGAGUCCUGAGGGCGACCUGUGCCUCUGGCUCUCGGGGUACGAAGUUCCCAAAGUAGAGUUACUGGGUGCAAAAGCCCGAGUUUGGACGCUGCUUGCUCUGUGCUGCGGUGCCAGCGCAACCUCUGCUCUCUCGGAGCCACGCUGGAAGGAGAGAGAGACGUCCGCCCUCACUAGACCGCACCCUGGCGCCCGGUCGACCGCCGGGAGGUUCAGCGCAGCCCGCAGACUGUUCCCACCGCUUGAGAACUUCUAAGCUGCACCGAUCCUGAGACAGGAUACACUUCUGAUACGUGUUGGUCCCCCGCAAGACCGAGCCCUGUCGCCCAGCAGUACCCCAUUCCACCCGACCUCGGAUCUUCAGCUCAGCGCCAAGCACAGGGCUUAAUUCAUCUUUUGCUGAUUCCUACCCAGCGUUGGUACAACUGCAUAGAGUAGAGCAGUGUCAAAGUGACAAAGCAACCUGCCUGGGGUUGCACAGCAGAACCAAACACCGGUUCCUCAUUUGGGGUGUGCUGGUAAUGCAUGCUAGUCUCACAAACUCUCAUUUCGUGAAGAGAACCCAAUAAGUAUUUGCUGAGCAGAUGAAUCUGCAUCCCAUUCUCUCCUGACCCUCAAAACAGCCAUGGGCUGUAGUUCCAGAUGUGGCCACGAGAUAGCAGCAGAGGACGAUGGUGACCGCGGCAGCCACAUUCAGAGUGAAUGUGUGACACUUGGUGACACUAGGCAUGACAGGUGCUCCCCUGUGAGCUUCCAAAUGGCAUUACAUAUUUAUGCAUUGGAUUAUCUCAAAUUCUGAGAAACUGUAGGUCUCUGGAACUCACCAUCUCCUGCCUCAGCAGGCCGGGAUUACUGGCCUUCGACACCAACCUGGCUUAAUUAGUUGUUUUAGGGAGGCUCAGCUGGUAGGAGCACUGGCUGCUCUUUCAGAGGACUCUGGUUCAAUUCCCAGCACCCACAUGGCAGCUCACAACUGUUAUUUGUCCCAAACAUUGGAGGAGGAAGACCACGAUCCAAUUAAAGGUGGCAACGUUAAUUAAAGCAAGCAUUUUUACAUAAGGCAGGGUUCAAGAAGACAGAAUUGAAUGUAAAGAAGACAAGAGUCUGGGGGGUGGGUAUGGGGGACCUUUGGGAUAGCAUUGAAAAUGUAAACAAGGAAAAUACCUAAUUAAAAAAAAAAGACAAGAGUCUUAUAGCUCAAGAGUAGAGGAUUUCCAAAUGGGGGAUUUGGUGGGUAAAAUAAGUGGGGUACAUGAGCCUGGAAGAAGCAGCACAGAGCCAUUUGUAGUUAAGAUUAGGGGUGGGGCCUAGCCCAGUCCUUGAGAAACAAAUGUAAUUAAAAACGGGAAUGAACUUAGUUUGUCUUACUAUAAAAGUUUCCAAGC
rnacentral:lncRNA from 1 species